rnacentral:rRNA from 1 species
GACGAACGCUGGCGGCGUGCUUAACACAUGCAAGUCGAACGGAAAGGCCCUGCUUUUGUGGGGUGCUCGAGUGGCGAACGGGUGAGUAACACGUGAGUAACCUGUCCUUGACUUUGGGAUAACUUCAGGAAACUGGGGCUAAUACCGGAUAGGAGCUCCUGCUGCAUGGUGGGGGUUGGAAAGUUUCGGCGGUUGGGGAUGGACUCGCGGCUUAUCAGCUUGUUGGUGGGGUAGUGGCUUACCAAGGCUUUGACGGGUAGCCGGCCUGAGAGGGUGACCGGCCACAUUGGGACUGAGAUACGGCCCAGACUCCUACGGGAGGCAGCAGUGGGGAAUAUUGCACAAUGGGAGGAAGCCUGAUGCAGCAACGCCGCGUGCGGGAUGACGGCCUUCGGGUUGUAAACCGCUUUCGCCUGUGACGAAGCGUGAGUGACGGUAAUGGGUAAAGAAGCACCGGCUAACUACGUG